rnacentral:misc_RNA from 1 species
GUGAAGAACGCAGCGAAAUGCGAUACGUAAUGUGAAUUGUAGAAUUCAGUGAAUCAUCGAGUCUUUGAACGCACAUUGCGCCCCCUGGUAUUCCGGGGGGCAUGCCUGUCCGAGCGUCAUUGCUGCCCUCAAGCACGGCUUGUGUGUUGGGCCUCCGUCCUCCUCCCGGGGGACGGGCCCGAAAGGCAGCGGCGGCACCGCGUCCGGUCCUCGAGCGUAUGGGGCUUCGUCACCCGCUCUUGUAGGCCCGGUCGGCGCUUGCCGACACAUCAAUCUUUUUUCCAGGUUGACCUCGGAUCAGGUAGGGAUACCCGCUGAACUUAAGCAUAUCAAUAAGCGGAGGA